AACGAACGCUGGCGGCAGGCUUAACACAUGCAAGUCGAGCGCCCCGCAAGGGGAGCGGCAGACGGGUGAGUAACGCGUGGGAAUCUACCCAUCUCUACGGAAUAACGCAUGGAAACGUGUGCUAAUACCGUAUACGACCUUCGGGAGAAAGAUUUAUCGGAGAUGGAUGAGCCCGCGUUGGAUUAGCUAGUUGGUGGGGUAAAGGCCUACCAAGACGACGAUCCAUAGCUGGUCUGAGAGGAUGAGCAGCCACACUGGGACUGAGACACGGCCCAGACUCCUGCGGGAGGCAGCAGUGGGGAAUAUUGGACAAGGGGCGCAAGCCUGAUCCAGCCAUGCCGCGUGAGUGAUGAAGGCCCUAGGGUUGUAAAGCUCUUUCACCGGUGAAGAUAAUGACGGUAACCGGAGGAGAAGCCCCGGCUAACUUCGUGCCAGCCGCCGCAGUAACAC
rnacentral:rRNA from 1 species